GGGUGCGAUCAUACUAGCACUAAUCCACUGGAUCCCAUCAGAACUCCGCAGGUAAGCGUGCUUGGGCGAGAGUAGUACUAGGAUGGGUGACCUCCUUGGAUGUCCUCGUGUUGCACCCC
rfam:Gossypium raimondii chromosome 6, whole genome shotgun sequence.